GUAGAGAGCUGUCCCUGGGCCCAGCUCUGGGGCGAAGAUGCCGGCCCUGCACAUUGAAGAUUUGCCAGAAAAGGAAAAGCUGAAGAUGGAAGUGGAGCAACUUUGCAAAGAAGUAAAGUUUCAGAGACAACAGGUGUCUAAAUGUUCUGAAGAAAUAAAAAACUACAUUGAAGAACGUUCUGGAGAGGACCCUCUCGUGAAAGGCAUUCCAGGAGACAAGAAUCCCUUUAAAGAAAAAGGCAGCUGCAUUAUUUCAUAAGUAAGUCUGGGGAGAAACUUUAUCCUCAGUGGCAGAACUAGCUUAUUUUAGUUUUCCGAAAUAAAACCAACAUGCCUUUUAAAGAAGGAAAAACUAAAUUAAAAGCGGACUUUCUCAAGCACUUACAUAGAUAUGGUUUUGUAUAAAAGCUAUGUGGUUCUCAUCUUUGCUUACUUCCCACCCUCUUGAAGAGGGCA